rnacentral:tRNA from 1 species
GCGGGUGUAGCUCAAUGGUAGAGCGCCAGCCUUCCAAGCUGGACAUGUGGGUUCGAUUCCCAUCACCCGCUCCA